AGUGAACGCUGGCGGUAGGCCUAACACAUGCAAGUCGAACGGCAGCACAGUAAGAGCUUGCUCUUACGGGUGGCGAGUGGCGGACGGGUGAGGAAUACAUCGGAAUCUACUUUUUCGUGGGGGAUAACGUAGGGAAACUUACGCUAAGACCGCAUACGACCUACGGGUGAAAGCAGGGGAUCUUCGGACCUUGCGCGAUUGAAUGAGCCGAUGUCGGAUUAGUUAGUUGGCGGGGUAAAGGCCCACCAAGGCGACGAUCCGUAGCUGGUCUGAGAGGAUGAUUCGCCACACUGGCACUGAGACACGGCCCAGACUCUUGCGGGAGGCCGCAGUGGGGAAUAUUGCACAAUGGACGAAAGCCUGAUCCAGCCCUACCGCGUGGGUGAAGAAGGCCUUCGGGUUGUAGAGCCCUUUUGUUGGGAAAAAAAAGCAGCAGUUUAAUACCCCGCUGUUCUGACGGUACCCAAAGAAUAAGCCCCGGCUAACUUCGUG
rnacentral:rRNA from 1 species